CGGUGAUAAGGAGGUGCGAGUGCCCUGGUGAUUUCAGGUCCUGAACAUCCUGGGCUUCGCAGCUUGGCCCCCGGACCGCUCUUUGACCCAGGCUCGCGGGGUGCGAACUGGUGGAAUCUGGGAAGGCGCCAAUCUGGUGGCUGUGAGGACCCAGUGAAGUUUCUGUCAAGAUACUUUGCAAACUGAACUUCAGAUUUGCCCCACCACUCCCAGAACAGACAGCUGACCUCCUGGGGCACCGCCAGAUUUUACUGCAUGGGGAACAAGUGGAGGCAUCCCAGCCACUGUGUUCCAGAUGACCACCCACCCCUGGGAACAGCUAACUGCCCAGGACGAGAA